rnacentral:rRNA from 1 species
UACGGAAGGUCCGGGCGUUAUCCGGAUUUAUUGGGUUUAAAGGGAGCGCAGGCGGGAGGUUAAGCGUGACGUGAAAUGUAGCCGCUCAACGGCUGAGUUGCGUCGCGAACUGGCCUUCUUGAGUGAGUGCGAGGUGUGCGGAAUUCGUGGUGUAGCGGUGAAAUGCUUAGAUAUCACGAAGAACUCCGAUUGCGAAGGCAGCGCACCAGUCCUUACUGACGCUAAAGCUCGAAAGUGCGGGUAUCGAACA